GAUGAACGCUGGCGGCGUGCUUAACACAUGCAAGUCGAACGAUGAAGCCCAGCUUGCUGGGUGGAUUAGUGGCGAACGGGUGAGUGACACGUGAGUAACCUGCCCUUAACUCUGGGAUAAGCCUGGGAAACUGGGUCUAAUACCGGAUAGGAGCGUCCACCGCAUGGUGGGUGUUGGAAAGAUUUAUCGGUUUUGGAUGGACUCGCGGCCUAUCAGCUUGUUGGUGAGGUAAUGGCUCACCAAGGCGACGACGGGUAGCCGGCCUGAGAGGGUGACCGGCCACACUGGGACUGAGACACGGCCCAGACUCGUACGGGAGGCAGCAGUGGGGAAUAUUGCACAAUGGGCGCAAGCCUGAUGCAGCGACGCCGCGUGAGGGAUGACGGCCUUCGGGUUGUAAACCUCUUUCAGUAGGGAAGAAGCGAAAGUGACGGUACCUGCAGAAGAAGCACCGGCUAACUACGUG
rnacentral:rRNA from 1 species